ensembl:snoRNA
UGACGUCGGUUCCUCCUCCUGUGUUCAGUGUUUCAGGUGGAUUUUACGACGUCACAGAGAAAUUCGGGUCUUUUUUCACCCAGAAAGCUUCCGGCUGCAGCCGACGAUCAAACGGCUUCCUGGUUUUGCGAGACCCAACAAAU